GAGGUGUAGCAAUACAGAUAGAUUUUUAUCGGAGAAGUUAACUGGCCGGUUGUUGUUCUUUGGCAGCAUUUCUGCUUACCGAACUUACAUAU